AGUGAACGCUGGCGGUAGGCCUAACACAUGCAAGUCGAACGGCAGCACAGUAAGAGCUUGCUCUUACGGGUGGCGAGUGGCGGACGGGUGAGGAAUACAUCGGAAUCUACUUUUUCGUGGGGGAUAACGUAGGGAAACUUACGCUAAUACCGCAUACGACCUACGGGUGAAAGCAGGGGAUCUUCGGACCUUGCGCGAUUGAAUGAGCCGAUGUCGGAUUAGCUAGUUGGCGGGGUAAAGGCCCACCAAGGCGACGAUCCGUAGCUGGUCUGAGAGGAUGAUCAGCCACACUGGAACUUAGACACGGUCCAGACUCCUACGGGAGGCAGCAGUGGGGAAUAUUGGACAAUGGGCGCAAGCCUGAUCCAGCCAUACCGCGUGGGUGAAGAAGGCCUUCGGGUUGUAAAGCCCUUUUGUUGGAAAGAAAAGCAGCAGGUUAAUACCCCGCUGUUCUGACGGUACCCAAAGAAUAAGCACCGGCUAACUUCGUG
rnacentral:rRNA from 1 species